rnacentral:rRNA from 1 species
CUGUUCAACGGCCGCGGUAUCCUAACCGUGCGAAGGUAGCGUAAUCACUUGUUCUUUAAAUGAGGACUAGUAUGAAUGGCACCACGAAGGUUAUACUGUCUCCUCUCUCUAAUCAGUGAAACUAAUCUCCCCGUGAAGAAGCGGGGAUAAUCUUAUAAGACGAGAAGACCCUAUGGAGCUUUAAACUAAGAAUCAACUGCCUUUACCAUAUUUAAAUUCCAGAAGACUAACUUUUACCAAGACAUUCUGAUUUCUAGUUUUAGGUUGGGGUGACCACGGAGUAAAAACUAACCUCCGCAAUGAACAGGGAUCUUCCCUUAACCAAGGACCACAACCCCAAGAAUCAAUACAUUGACAUCAAUUGACCCAUUAAACCUGAUCAAUGAACCAAGUUACCCUAGGGAUAACAGCGCAAUCCACUUCAAGAGCUCCUAUCGACAAGUGGGUUUACGACCUCGAUGUUGGAUCAGGGUAUCCCAGUGGUGCAGCCGCUACUAACGGUUCGUUUG